CUGCAAGUCGAGCGGGGGAAGGUAGCUUGCUACCGGACCUAGCGGCGGACGGGUGAGUAAUGCUUAGGAAUCUGCCUAUUAGUGGGGGACAACAUCUCGAAAGGGAUGCUAAUACCGCAUACGUCCUACGGGAGAAAGCAGGGGAUCUUCGGACCUUGCGCUAAUAGAUGAGCCUAAGUCGGAUUAGCUAGUUGGUGGGGUAAAGGCCUACCAAGGCGACGAUCUGUAGCGGGUCUGAGAGGAUGAUCCGCCACACUGGGACUGAGACACGGCCCAGACUCCUACGGGAGGCAGCAGUGGGGAAUAUUGGACAAUGGGGGGAACCCUGAUCCAGCCAUGCCGCGUGUGUGAAGAAGGCCUUAUGGUUGUAAAGCACUUUAAGCGAGGAGGAGGCUACUUUAGUUAAUACCUAGAGAUAGUGGACGUUACUCGCAGAAUAAGCACCGGCUAACUCUGUGCCAGCAGCCGCGGUAAUACAGAGGGUGCGAGCGUUAAUCGGAUUUACUGGGCGUAAAGCGUGCGUAGGCGGCUUAUUAAGUCGGAUGUGAAAUCCCCGAGCUUAACUUGGGAAUUGCAUUCGAUACUGGUGAGCUAGAGUAUGGGAGAGGAUGGUAGAAUUCCAGGUGUAGCGGUGAAAUGCGUAGAGAUCUGGAG
rnacentral:rRNA from 1 species